rnacentral:rRNA from 1 species
AUGGACCAUUCCAUCCCUUUUUCCCGUGCAUAUGCAUCGGACUCGGAUGACGAUGGUCCCGAUGAACAAGUUGAUGCGGAGGGGUUCACGGUGAAGGAGGCCGAAGCUUUCGAGAAGGUAUUUGGUCGGGAUCAUCGGACUACAUUGUUCAAGGAUGUUAGUCUUGCGGAUGAAGCCGUGGUAGAUGGUGGUCAAUGUGUACCUCUUGGGGUUAGGCCAAGCUCUCAC